GAUAGUGCAUGCACAGGUUAAGCCUUGGUUCAGAAAAGAGUUUUUAUUUUCACAGAAAAUGUAUGAUCAUGUAUGAGAUUUACAGGGACACAGAGAGUAUAGCAGGCUUGCUACGGGUUCUGGCGGCCUUAAGCCGACCUUAAUCCUAGCGCCGGUGACGGUCCAUUUUGGGGUCGUUACAGAUUGGUAUCAGAGCCCUAGGUUCACAUUAUCGGACCUAUAGAGACAGUGUCGGGCUCAUACAG
rnacentral:lncRNA from 1 species